rnacentral:pre_miRNA from 1 species
CGUUCUUCACUGGCUAGUUUUAUGUCACUGUCAAACAGCUAAAGCUGCCAGUUGAAGAACUGU